rfam:Bacillus megaterium QM B1551, complete genome.
UACUACGUCCACGUUAAAUAAAAAUUAAAUUUUCAGAAAAGUUAAAUUUUAAUGUUGAAAUUUUAUUUCUUCUUAUUAUAUAAUAUAAACAAUCAUUUACCUCUAUUGGAAAUGAUAAUUCGAGUUUCAGCAGCAUGAGGCUGCACAGUACUAGGGGGAUUCAAGUUAUGCAAAAUGGUAAAGUAAAAUGGUUCAACAAUGAAAAAGGCUAUGGCUUUAUUGAAGUUGAAGGCGGCAGCGACGUGUUUGUACAUUUUUCUGCCAUCCAAAGCGAAGGUUAUAAAUCCUUGGAAGAAGGCCAAGAGGUAUCUUUUGAAAUUGUAGAAGGCAAUAGAGGCCCGCAAGCCGCUAAUGUCACUAAGCUAUCAUAAAUAGAUCUUUUUAUUUUAUAGUAAAAGAGACUCUUUUCCGAGUCUCUUUUUUGU